GUCAUGAGUUGGGACUGUCUCUUCAUUUGCAGAACCACCAGCAACCUAUGAUGAGAAUGAGAUUCCUUCCUCUGGGUGACGUGCUUGUGCGGCAUGUGGCAUGCACUCUCAUACUGGGGGAUACCUAUGGGACUUAGUACCUCAUGAAUACCAGGUCCAGUGACUUUUCUGUGGUGUUCUUCAUGGCGCUUCCUCAACUCUUCAGAUGAGAAAGAGAGUUCACAGUGGAGCCGUUGGCAGGAAAACAUGCCUGGGCUUAUUUCUACAAUGGAAUUAUUGUGUUCAGCUCGUUUGGACUCAACAGAAUAUAUGGAGCAAUGGCAUGUGAUGAAAGUAAAACUGUAACCUGGAGUUGGAUGACAAGAAAUCAGGGGGACACUUUGGCCAACUGAUAUCAACAGGAACUUGGAUUCCACACUUUGUCAGGAAUUUAUU